GUAACGGCGAGUGAAGCGGCAACAGCUCAAAUUUGAAAUCUGGCCCCCAGGGCCCGAGUUGUAAUUUGCAGAGGAUGCUUUUGGCGCGGUGCCUUCCGAGUUCCCUGGAACGGGACGCCAUAGAGGGUGAGAGCCCCGUCUGGUCGGACACCAAGCCAGUGUAAAGCUCCUUCGACGAGUCGAGUAGUUUGGGAAUGCUGCUCUAAAUGGGAGGUAUAUGUCUUCUAAAGCUAAAUACCGGCCAGAGACCGAUAGCGCACAAGUAGAGUGAUCGAAAGAUGAAAAGCACUUUGAAAAGAGGGUUAAACAGUACGUGAAAUUGUUGAAAGGGAAGCGUUUAUGACCAGACUUGGGCCCGGUGAAUCAUCCAGCGUUCUCGCUGGUGCACUUUGCCGGGCUCAGGCCAGCAUCAGUUCGUCGCGGGGGACAAAAGCUUCGGGAACGUGGCUCCCUCGGGAGUGUUAUAGCCCGUUGCAUAAUACCCUGCGGUGGACUGAGGUUCGCGCUCCGCAAGGAUGCUGGCGUAAUGGUCAUCAGCGACCCGUCUUGAAACACGGACCAAGGAGUCGUCUUCGUAUGCGAGUGUUCGGGUGUCAAACCCCUACGCGUAAUGAAAGUGAACGCAGGUGAGAGCUUCGGCGCAUCAUCGACCGAUCCUGAUGUUCUCGGAUGGAUUUGAGUAAGAGCAUACGGGGCCGGACCCGAAAGAAGGUGAACUAUGCCUGUAUAGGGUGAAGCCAGAGGAAACUCUGGUGGAGGCUCGCAGCGGUUCUGACGUGCAAAUCGAUCGUCAAAUAUGGGCAUG
rnacentral:rRNA from 1 species